rnacentral:rRNA from 1 species
UAAAAGUCGUAACAAGGUUUCCGUAGGUGAACCUGCGGAAGGAUCAUUAUUGAAUAAACUUGAACAGGCUGUUUGCUGGCCUCUCUCUCCGGAGGGGGUAUGUGCACGCUUGUCAUCUUUAUCUCUCCAACUGUGCACAUGCUGUAGAUCUGGGAGCCCUUUUGUAUUCUCGAAUAGAUUGAGGAUUGCUGUACUCAAGUGUCAGCUUUGCCUUGCAUUUCCAGAUCUAUGUUUUUUUUUCACAAUCUCUGAAUGUGUCUAGAAUGUUGAAUCGAAUGAUAAAUCAUAUACAACUUUCAGCAACGGAUCUCUUGGCUCUCGCAUCGAUGAAGAACGCAGCGAAAUGCGAUAAGUAAUGUGAAUUGCAGAAUUCAGUGAAUCAUCGAAUCUUUGAACGCAUCUUGCGCUCCUUGGUAUUCCGAGGAGCAUGCCUGUUUGAGUGUCAUUUGAGUUCUCAAACCAUGCUGAUUUUAUUGGCGUGGCUUUGGAUGUGGGGGUUUGCGGGCUUUUGAAGUCGGCUCCCCUGAAAUGCAUUAGUGGUAUCUGAGCAGAGACUACUUACAGGUGUGAUAAAUUAUCUAUCUAUGCCUCGGUAUGCUGCAUGAAACAGAUUGCACUGCUUAUAACGAGUGGAAAUUUGACAAGUUUGACCUCAAAUCAGGUAGGACUACCCGCUGAACUUAAGCAUAUCAAUAAGCGGAGGAAAAGAAACUAACAAGGAUUCCCCUAGUAACUGCGAGUGAAGCGGGAAAAGCUCAAAUUUGAAAUCUGGCGGUUUUUGACC